rnacentral:rRNA from 1 species
CACGUAGGGGGCGAGCGUUGUCCGGAUUUAUUGGGCGUAAAGAGCUCGUAGGCGGCUCGGUAAGUCAGGUGUGAAAACUCUAGGCUCAACCUAGAGACGCCACCUGAUACUGCCGUGGCUAGAGUCCGGUAGGGGAGCAUGGAAUUCCUGGUGUAGCGGUGAAAUGCGCAGAUAUCAGGAGGAACACCGAUGGCGAAGGCAGGUCUCUGGGCCAUAACUGACGCUGAGAAGCGAAAGCAUGGGGAGCGAACAGG